AUCUCUUCAAGACCACCAUUCUAGAAGCCAAGUUGCAGGUGGCCUGGACUACUAUCACCUACACAAUGUUGACAUUAGGAGCUGACUAUGAUGUCAUUGAGGGGGACUUGGCCAUGAUGGUGGAUAGAUUCAAGGACUCCCAAGGGUGAGUACCACACAUCCACUUCUGACUGAUAUUUUGAGGCUACCGAGGGGAUCACAUCUUUGGACAUCAGGCA
rnacentral:lncRNA from 1 species